UUGUAAGGAACUCGGCAAACUGUCUUCAUAAGUUAGACGAUAUGAAGAACCAUUGGAUGAUAUAUGUUUAGGCCUUUCAUAUUAUGGCUCUAGGGGUUUUCAGGCCCUUAGGGCUAUAGGUGAAGGGUAUAAAUUAUAUCCUUUAAGUGGUGGCACAGAAUCGGAGGCCCCGACUGUUUACUUAAAACACAGCUUUCUGCGACGAAUAAUAUCUUUGUAUAGAAAGCGAAUUUUGCCCAAUGCCAUUAAUAUAAGGUUGAUAAGCGCAUAGCGUAAUUAUUAAUUGAAGUUCUGGUCAAUGGCGGUCUUAUCUAUGAGGAUCCUAAGGUAGCAAAAUUAAUUGUCCAUUAAAUGUGGUCCUGACUGAAUAAAGUAACGAUGGUCUCGCUGUCUCUACAAGUAUCUCAGUGAAAUUGAAUUAGCCGUGCAGAUGCGGUUUAACUUCGGGUAGACGGGAAGACCCU
rnacentral:rRNA from 1 species